rnacentral:snRNA from 1 species
GUGCUCACUUUGGCAAGCACUUAUACUAAAAUUGGAAGAUACAGGGAAAAUUAGCAUGGCCCCUGUGCAAGGAUGACAUGCAAAUUCAGGAAGCACUCUAUAUUUUU